rnacentral:tRNA from 1 species
GGCCCCGUAGCUCAGUGGAUAGAGCAGCUACCUUCUAAGUAGCCGGUCGCAGGUUCGAUUCCUGCCGGGGUCG